UAGCCUAGUGGUUAAGGCUAUGGAUCGCCAAUCCGGAGACAGCGGAUUCGAUUUCCGU
rnacentral:tRNA from 1 species